rnacentral:rRNA from 1 species
GACGAACGCUGGCGGCGUGCUUAACACAUGCAAGUCGAACGGAAAGGCCCUGCUUUUGUGGGGUGCUCGAGUGGCGAACGGGUGAGUAACACGUGAGUAACCUGCCCUUGACUUUGGGAUAACUUCAGGAAACUGGGGCUAAUACCGGAUAGGAGCUCCUGCUGCAUGGUGGGGGUUGGAAAGUUUCGGCGGUUGGGGAUGGACUCGCGGCUUAUCAUCUUGUUCGUGGGGUAGUGGCUUACCAAGGCUUUGACGGGUAGCCGGCCUGAGAGGGUGACCGGCCACAUUGGGACUGAGAUACGGACCAGACUCAUACGGGGGGCAGCAGUGGGGAAUAUUGCAAAAUGGGCGGAAGCCUGAUGCAGCAACGCCGCGUGCGGGAUGACGGCCUUCGGGUUGUAAACCGCUUUCGCCUGUGACGAAGCGUGAGUGACGGUAAUGGGUAAAGAAGCACCGGCUAACUACGUG